rnacentral:rRNA from 1 species
AUUGAACGCUGGCGGCAGGCCUAACACAUGCAAGUCGAACGAGUGGCGGACGGGUGAGUAAUGUCUGGGAAACUGACCGAUGGAGGGGGAUAACUACUGGAAACGGUAGCUAAUACCGCAUACCAUCGGAUGUGCCCAGAUGGGAUUAGCUUGUAGGUGAGGUAACGGCUCACCUAGGCGACGAUCCCUAGCUGGUCUGAGAGGAUGACCAGCCCAACUGGAACUAAAACAUCGUGCAAACUACUACGGGAGGCAGCAGUGGGGUAUAUUGCACAAUGGGCGCAAGUCUGAUGCAGCCAUGCCGCGUGUAUGAAGACGGCCUGCGGGUUGUAAAGUACUUUCAGCGGGGAGGCGUUACCCGCAGAAGAAGCACCGGCUAACUCCGUGCCAGCAGCCGCGGUGAUAC